CACCAAGUUAACAUUAGAUGCGAGUGAAAGCGCAGAUAAACCAAUCGUUAAAAUAACGAGAAAUAAUAGUGUCUAAAGUUAGACCCGAAGCCCGGUGAUUUUACCACAAUCAGGAUUAUAAAAGUCCGAACGGGUUAUCGUUGCAAAGAUAUCCGAAGAAUUGUGGUAGGUAGUGAAAGACAAAACUGACCGGGAUAGCUGGUUUUCUGCGAAACCUAUAACAGUAGGCAAUUUGAGUCACAUCUUAGCAGGUACAGAAUUUAAUCUCAGACAAGAUGUAUAAAUUUUAAAGUGUAAGCUUUAAAAUUACAUUAUAUUUUUGUAUAUAUCGGGGGAUCGUGAAGAUUUUAUCGGUGAGUAUAUAGACUCGGAAUAGCAAAGAUGAAUCUUGAAUUAUCGGAUAUAGAAUGAUAAGGUUAUAUAUUAAAAGGGAAACAGCCCAGAAUAAGAGUUAAGGUUCUAAAAUUAUUAGUUAAGUGAAAUUAAGAAAGUUUUUAUUAAAGUCGAUAAGGAGAUGGCUGCUUUGCGUCGCGUGCCAUCGCUGUCAAUAAGAUGAAAAGCAACAGGCCGCAGUAUUAUGAUAAGCGAUUGAAUCAAGGCAUUGCUUUCAAGCACUCAUGCGCGUGCGAUGGCAGCACGAAGAUGCUG
rnacentral:ncRNA from 1 species